rnacentral:rRNA from 1 species
CUUUCCGUAAGGUGGAACCUGSCGGAGGGAUCAUUAAAAGAGUUCUAUAACUCCCAAACCCCAUGUGAACAUACCCUUAMGUUGCCUCGGCAGGUCGCGCWUACCCCGUAACGUCCUACCCUGUAGGACCUACCCGGUAGACGCGGGUAAGCCUGCCGGCGGCCCACGAAACUCUGUUUAAUAUUGAAUUCUGAACCUAAAACUAAAUAAGUUAAAACUUUCAACAACGGAUCUCUUGGUUCUGGCAUCGAUGAAGAACGCAGCGAAAUGCGAUAAGUAAUGUGAAUUGCAGAAUUCAGUGAAUCAUCGAAUCUUUGAACGCACAUUGCGCCCAUUAGUAUUCUAGUGGGCAUGCCUGUUCGAGCGUCAUUUCAACCCUUAAGCCUCUGUUGCUUAGUGUUGGGAGCCUACGGCACCCGUAGCUCCUCAAAGUUAGUGGCGGAGUCGGUUCACACUCUAGACGUAGUAAUUCUUAUCUCGCCUAUACAGUUGGACCGGUCCCCUGCCGUAAAACCCCCCAUUUUUAAAGGUGACCUCGGAUCA